UACGGGAGGCAGCAGUGGGGAAUAUUGCACAAUGGGCGCAAGCCUGAUGCAGCCAUGCCGCGUGUAUGAAGAAGGCCUUCGGGUUGUAAAGUACUUUCAGUCGUGAGGAAGGUGUUAAGGUUAAUAACCUUAGCAAUUGACGUUAGCGACAGAAGAAGCACCGGCUAACUCCGUGCCAGCAGCCGCGGUAAUACGGAGGGUGCGAGCGUUAAUCGGAAUUACUGGGCGUAAAGGGCACGCAGGCGGUUAAUUAAGUUGGAUGUGAAAUCCCCGGGCUUAACCUGGGAAUGGCAUUCAGGACUGGUUAGCUAGAGUCUUGUAGAGGGGGUAGAAUUCCAUGUGUAGCGGUGAAAUGCGUAGAGAUGUGGAGGAAUACCGGGUGGCGAAGGCGGCCCCUGGGACAAAGACUGACGCUCAUGUGCGAAAGCGUGGGGAGCAAACAGGAUUAGAUACC
rnacentral:rRNA from 1 species